UAUUAGUUUUAAUAAAAAUUUAGUAGUAAGUGAUGAUCAUGAAACUAAAAUUAAUUGGCGGCUUUUUAAAUUUUUUAGAGGAAUUUAUUCUAUAAAGGACUCAACACCAAAAUCUUACUUUUACUGGUAAACAGUUUAUAUAUCGCUAUUUAUAAAUACAUAAAUGUAUUUUUAUACUUAAUAAAAAUCCAAUUUUAGGUAAAGAUGUAGCCCAUGUAAAAGAUUGAAAUAAAUUAUAUAAAUUUAUAUUUAACAAAUAACUAGAUGUAAAUAAAUUAUAAGUAAAAUUUAAAAGUAAAUUAAAUAUUUAAGUUUAAUUGAAUAACAAUUUAAAUGUGUACAUAUCGCCCGUCACUCUCUCUCAGAG
rnacentral:rRNA from 1 species